UGGCUAAGCCGCAACAAUGGUAUUUUCACAUUGAAAACUCCUGUGCACUCUAUCGUAAUAUCUGUCAGUCACUAAGAUUUUUAACAGAUUUGAAGGGUAGGAGAGGAUACCAGAUGACGUUUUUAUUGUGAUUACGCAGUAAUGCAACACAGAGUGUAAGUCCUUAUGGAUUACUUUUUGCCAAUGCAGCAGGGACUAUAAUUACAAACAGAACAACAGUUACUUUUUGUUUUGCUACUUUUCAGCAUAAAUAGAAUAAUUUUUAAAAAGUGGAAUUUCAGCAAUAGAAAAGAAUUAUUUCAAAAUGUGUUUUCUUCACUAUGCUGGCCCCUUACGUGUGCAUUUUUUGUUAGAACCAGUGAGAACAGAUCUUUUUCUGCAGUCUCAGGAUGCUCAUAUGGAAAGUAAGAGUAUUCCUCCUGCUUUCUAUAAAACUUCUCUUUUCAGAUGUUAUGUGUUAUAGUUUCCCUUAAAGAGAUUAUAUAGAGGAGAUAAGUUUACAGAACCAUGGUGCUAUACUUCAUAAAAGCUAACACACCUUUAUGCAUAUUCAAAUUAAACUUUAAAAGCAGUGGGUUGAGAUGAUUUUACAAAUAUGCAUGAUUGAAUGUCAUCCCCAUUAGCAACCAAACUGCUUUCUCGUUCAUUAAAAUGUCUUUAUUUUCAUAAACAUGAUCUGGGUAUUUGAAGAGCACCUUGUGUUACAUGAGAAUGAAUUAUAUGUGUGUGUGGCUCAUAGAGGUCACAUUUACCCAGGAUCAGGAGCUGCUUUGAGGGUUGAGUUUCCUGUAUUGUCUCCUGUGGCCACCAUUCUUCUUUGUACCUGUUCUUUCUCCUACCAGCUCUGCAGCACUGACGAUUAAGCCACCAAAUGGAGAAUACACCACCACAGACACAAGAGCCAAUCAGGCAGCCUUAACACCAGUGCAAGCUGCCAGGAACGGAGACCAGAAAGCACAACUUCCUAUACAGAGUAGCAGCCACAGGCCUUAAACACUUGGGAUGAACACUGCCAACAGCCCCACAACACUGUCACAGGGUGCAGAGAAAGGGCCAGAACAGCCACUCCGGGCAGCUGGAACAUCCUCUAAGACCAGGACAUCACAGCCUUGGCAGAAAUGAUUCUUGUGAAUUUCUCUGCCAGUAUGACAGGUAAUGGUGAAAGCAGCAGAGAGGACACUGAAGGAGAACGAGGAUGCUUCUGACUUUGCUUCUUUAAGAUAAUAUAGUGAGUGCAGGCAACUUCCCAUGUGAUUCACCUAGGCAGCAACAAAACUGAUAAACUGGCACUGUGGAUCCCUCCUCUAGCAGACUGAGCACAGCGUCCCAACCCUGUCUUGAAGCUACGUUUCAAUGUCCCUUCAAGGAAGCUGGUCCGUCUCCUCUCCAGAGUAUGACUGGUAGUGCCACUGCU